rnacentral:rRNA from 1 species
GAAAUAGGACGGCUUUCCUAUUUUGUUGGUUUCUAGGGGAGCCGUAAUGAUUAAUAGGGUCAGUCGGGGGCAUCAGUAUUCAAUUGUUCAGAGGUGAAAUUCUUGGAUUUAUUGAAGACUAACUACUGCGAAAGCAUUUGCCAAGGAUGUUUUCAUUAAUCAGUGAACGAAAGUUAGGGGAUCGAAGACGAUCAGAUACCGUCGUAGUCUUAACCAUAAACUAUGCCGACUAGGGAUCGGGCGAUGUUACUAUCUUGACUCGCCCGGCACCUUACGAGAAAUCAAAGUUUUUGGGUUCUGGGGGGGAGUAUGGUCGCAAGGCUGAAACUUAAAGAAAUUGACGGAAGGGCACCACAAGGCGUGGAACCUGCGGCUUAAUUUGACUCAACACGGGGAAACUCACCAGGUCCAGAUACAAGUAGGAUUGACAGAUUGAGAGCUCUUUCUUGAUUUUGUAGUUGGUGGUGCAUGGCCGCCGUUCUUAGUUGGUGGAGUGAUUUGUCUGCUUAAUUGCGAUAACGAACGAGACCUUAACCUGCUAAAUAGCCCGGCUCGCUUUGGCGGGUCGCCGGCUUCUUAGAGGGACUAUCGGCUCAAGCCGAUGGAAGUUUGAGGCAAUAACAGGUCUGUGAUGCCCUUAGAUGUUCUGGGCUGCACGCGCGUUACACUGACAGAGCCAUCGAGUUUUUUUCCUUGGCCGGAAGGUCUGGGUUUUCUUGUUAAACUCUGUCGUGC